rnacentral:sRNA from 1 species
CCCGCCGCCGCCGCGGCCGCUCGCCGCUAGCCGGCCGCAUCCCCGUUGCAUCUUCCUUUGGCGGAAGCGGCACUCCAUCCAGUCUCGCCGAGUCUCCGGCCGAGGACUUCCAUCAGUUCUUCAUCCGUGCUGUGAGCGGAUGCCGGCAAGACGACACGAGCUGAGCCGAGGCAACAAUACGUUAAGAAACUAUGGAGAAGACCAAAAAGAGAGGCUAGAAGGAUGAUGUCAGGCGUUGAAGUCAAGAUGGAGGGCCAACUCAUAUCAAGUUUGAGUCUACCUUAGGCUCUAGGAGUAGUCUGCGCUAAAAACAUCACGCAGCCGCAUUCAGACUCACAUAUGGAAAGCUAACGAGACCACCUUUCCAAUGGGUCUGGUCUCACGUCAAAAAUUCUUCUGAAAGAAGUGGCGUCCAGAAUCUAUCUGAGUGCUGCAUCACCAUCUUUUGGGCCGCUGGGCCAUGUAUCGUAUUGAAGUCCAAUAAUGAUGCUUCUAGAGGUCCUUGAUCGACCUAGCUAGAACCUAUAUUUGUUGAUUGAAAACCAGAUUGUGUGUACCAAGUUUCUGCCAAAUCGAUAAUCUCUACUUGAUGG